rnacentral:tRNA from 1 species
AAUAAGAUGCCUGAAUAAAAGGAUUAUUUUGAUAGAAUAAAUCAUGUACAUUGUACUCUUAUUA